GACGAACCGAGCGAACGUUGUUCGGAAUCACUGGGCUUAAAGGGCUCGUAGGCGGUUUGUCGCGUCGGGAGUGAAAUCCACUGGCUUAACUGGUGGCUUGCUUUCGAUACGGGCAGACUGGAGGUAUGCAGGGGAGAACGGAAUUCCUGGUGUAGCGGUGAAAUGCGCAGAUAUCAGGAGGAACACCGAUGGCGAAGGCAGGUCUCUGGGCCACUACUGACGCUGAGAAGCGAAAGCGUGGGGAGCAAACAGG
rnacentral:rRNA from 1 species